UACGUAGGGUGCGAGCGUUGUCCGGAAUUAUUGGGGCGUAAAGAGCUUGUAGGUGGUUUGUCGCGUCUGCUGUGAAAAUCCGAGGCUCAACCUCGGACUUGCAGUGGGUACGGGCAGACUAGAGUGUGGUAGGGGAGACUGGAAUUCCUGGUGUAGCGGUGGAAUGCGCAGAUAUCAGGAGGAACACCGAUGGCGAAGGCAGGUCUCUGGGCCAUUAACUGA
rnacentral:rRNA from 1 species